rnacentral:rRNA from 1 species
AGUGAACGCUGGCGGUAGGCCUAACACAUGCAAGUCGAACGGCAGCACAGUAAGAGCUUGCUCUUACGGGUGGCGAGUGGCGGACGGGUGAGGAAUACAUCGGAAUCUACUUUUUUGUGGGGGAUAACGUAGGGAAACUUACGCUAAUACCGCAUACGACCUACGGGUGAAAGCAGGGGAUCUUCGGACCUUGCGCGAUUGAAUGAGCCGAUGUCGGAUUAGCUAGUUGGCGGGGUAAAGGCCCACCAAGGCGACGAUCCGUAGCUGGUCUGAGAGGAUGAUCAGCCACACUGGAACUGAGACACGGUCCAGACUCCUACGGGAGGCAGCAGUGGGGAAUAUUGGACAAUGGGCGCAGGCCUGAUCCAGCCAUACCGCGUGGGUGAAGAAGGCCUUCGGGUUGUAAAGCCCUUUUGUUGGGAAAGAAAAGCAGCAGGUUAAUACCCCGCUGUUCUGACGGUACCCAAAGAAUAGGCACCGGCUAACUUCGUG